UACGUAGGGUGCAAGCGUUAAUCGGAAUUACUGGGCGUAAAGCGUACGUAGGCGGCUUUGUAAGUUAGAGGUGAAAGCCCGGGGCUCAACUCCGGAACUGCCUUUAAGACUGCAUCGCUAGAACGUCGGAGAGGUGAGUGGAAUUCCGAGUGUAGAGGUGAAAUUCGUAGAUAUUCGGAAGAACACCAGUGGCGAAGGCGACUCACUGGACGACUGUUGACGCUGAGGUACGAAAGCGUGGGGAGCAAACAGG
rnacentral:rRNA from 1 species